CUCCUUUUUUCUUAUUAGUAUUUUUUCAGACUUUUCUCCUCAUUCUCAUUUUUCAAAAAGUUUGACUAAGAUCUGUCCUUUGUCUAUAACAUGACAGGGUUGCUGAGCUACUUGGCUCUGUGUGUGUCCUAGCAGUUUUUUCGGUUUGUUUGUUUGUUUGUUUUUCGUUUGCUUUUUAAGGCCACACCCGCGGCAUAUGGAGGUUCCCAGGCUAGGGGUUGAGUCAGAGCUGUAGCUGCUGGUCUACACCACAGCCACAGCAACGUCGGAUCCAAGCCACGUCUGCGACCUACACCACAGCUCACAGCAACGCCGGAUCCUUAACCCACUGAGCAAGGCCAGGGCUCGAACCCGCAACCUCAUGGUUCCUAGUCGGAUUCGUUAACCACUGAGGCACGGCAGGAACUCCUGCCCUCGCCAUUUGAGGGGAAGUGGCCGUGGUCUCUCUGAACAGCUGCCCCUUCCCUCUGUCCGUCCCCUGGGGUCCGGCUCAGGUCCGGAGACCGACCACUUGCUGUUCUUCCGCAGGACUUUUCCUCUUUGUGGUUCCGAAAAUGGGUCAUUUCUCUUGUCCUGUUUUCAAGGCGGUGAAGCCCUCCUCUGCGGCCCGUCUUUCGGGAGGCCUGUCGAGCGCAUUUUUCAUUUGGGUCCAGGGUUUUUUCAACACGAGGGUCUCCAUUUGUUUUCUUUCUGAAAUUUCCACUUCGCGGCCAGCAUCACCCCCACUUAGCGGCCUUCUUGACACUUGGCUGGCGAAUCCUUUCAGGGGAUCGUGCCUGAGACGUGCAGAGACGACUCGUCCCAUCUUGGCCUGGAACGUGCCGCGUUUGCUCCAGGAGGCGUUGCAGUCACUGCCGGGUCCUCAGCGCUGUGUGGACCUGUCUUCUCGGGCCCGGCCGCCAGCCAGAGCUGUGGCCGGUCCAGUUUUUCAGGAGCCGCCUGCAGGGUUUGCUGAGCCAGGUCGAGGAACGCAGACGCCCAGCAACUCCGCCGCGGUGCCGCUUCCUGCUCAGAUCAUAAGCUGCUCAGGACUCAGGGACCCCGCACUGAUCUGUGAUCCCUCGUCUGCUCCUCCCUGGGAUGGUUCUCAUUUCCAGCUGCUGCGGCAGCUCUGACCUUUAACCUCUGGCUGGAGCCCAAGGCCACAGCCUCUUCCCGCGCCAGCACCUGUGCUGCUUUGUGCGGGGACAGCGACCUCGGGAAGGGCUGGUCGCCGUGAGCUGGCUGGUCAAUGACCUUCCUCCUGGGAGGGCCUGUGCCUGCUCCUGGUUAUUCUCUGACCAGCUUGCCACUACGAUUAAGAACCUUGGGCCAACAUGAGCCUCUUUCCCUUGGCUGGGAUCAGAACCCACCUGCUUAGCUGCGACAGUCUGGGUGUUUGGUCUACACCCCAGACCACCUGCGUUAGACUUUCUGGGUGUGGAACACAGCGUGGGUAUCCCUGGAAGUGCCUGGCGACUUCUGUGUAACCGAAGUUGCUGGAAGCAUUUAUGAAGCAUCGUAUGUCUCAGCGCUUUUCAUUAACGAUUUUUCAAUCCUCUGGUAGCCUCAUUAUUUUCAUACGGGAACUAAGGGUUAGGAUGUUCCAGAGCUGGGCCUUGACACCGCCAGGGUGACCUCAGACCCUAGGGUUAACGGCUGGCUUCACGGUGCAGCGUGGGGAGGGCGGGGGGACCGGGGGUUUGAGGUCGGAACGGCUGGCGCUCUGUUGUGUGGCCGUAGUGCACUUGGGCAUUUCCCCUGUGGGAGGGUACUUACCAUGCUGUCGAUAUUCUGACUGUUAUAAACCAUUUUGCACAGGAUAUUUUGUACCUCAGCUAAAUCCGUCUCUAAUUGUUUACUUAGAAUAAAUGAUUAGAGGAGGAAUUGGGUUUUAAGUAG
rnacentral:lncRNA from 1 species